GAGAACCUCGAAUUCUGUAUUGUCUGUGUUCGGAGCUGUUCUGGACGAAUUGGUUGAGAAUCUCGUUUUCAUUUCUUCAGAUAAGUUGUAUAGUGUUCGAAAAUGAAUAUUUGUAUGUGUAUUUCAUUAAUUUUGGUUAUUUUUUGAGGAAGUUAUGGGUGUUGGAAGUUAGGAUAUUGAAUUUGGAAAAUCUGGAAAUGUGGGUUGUAAUGUGAUUCUUAAUCUAAUUGUUUAGAAAUUCAUGAGCAUGGAAGGACAAAACCUAUCUAUGAUUCUAAUGCUCGGUUUUGGUUGUUGACAGACCAAGAGGAAAUAGGCUGAGUCUACAAACCGGGGAACUGGAUAAAACUGUUAUAUUUCUGUUGUCGACGUUGAGUGUACUCCGUGACAACGAUGCUGUCGUGAGUGCUGGACGGGCCCCACUACGACAAAGAUGAUGGGAGUGUCGGCGGGCCCUACUACAUCGUAGGACUAGUAAACGUUGGUUGUACUGGACGUGCCCUACACCACGUAGAUCGGUCAUGUAGAGAUUGAGCUCCAGGUGCCUGAUACACUGCCGACGUCUGCUGAAAGUUCCAAAUCAAACUCCAGUACAUGGUUGGAGUUGUAUUUUGAGUCUUUUCAUGUUGAAAUGUUUUUUAAGGUUUAAAUAAUAUCGUCCUGGAGGUCGUGGUCAUAAAACUCUAGUUGUAUAGGUUUUGGUCGUGAUGUUUAUAUUAGGUUAUUUUACAAACCAAGUGAUGUCAGGGCUGCAUCUUAUGUAUGUUGGGAAGGUUUUCGUGGUU